rnacentral:rRNA from 1 species
AUGAACGCUGGCGGCGUGCCUCAUACAUGCACGUCGAGCGAACGGACGAGAAGCUUGCUUCUCUGAUGUUAGCGGCGGACGGGUGAGUAACACGUGGAUAACCUACCUAUAAGACUGGGGUAACUUCGGGAAACCGGAGCUAAUACCGGAUAAUAUUUUGAACCGCAUGGUUCAAAAGUGAAAGACGGUCUUGCUGUCACUUAUAGAUGGAUCCGCGCUGCAUUAGCUAGUUGGUAAGGUAACGGCUUACCAAGGCAACGAUGCAUAGCCGACCUGAGAGGGUGAUCGGCCACACUGGAACUGAGACACGGUCCAGACUCCUACGGGAGGCAGCAGUAGGGAAUCUUCCGCAAUGGGCGAAAGCCUGACGGAGCAACGCCGCGUGAGUGAUGAAGGUCUUCGGAUCGUAAAACUCUGUUAUUAGGGAAGAACAUAUGUGUAAGUAACUGUGCACAUCUUGACGGUACCUAAUCAGAAAGCCACGGCUAACUACGUG